rnacentral:lncRNA from 1 species
GUGGGUUUAAAAAAAAGCCAAGCUCUAUCCUGUUGCCUUUUUGUAUCUUAUGAAGGUCACAAUAAGACGUGAUUGUUUGGCAUAGCGGCAGUGAAUUAUGCCACCAGACAAGCUUUUAACCUAUGCGCCUUAACUCUGAGUGAGACGCACGGGGCCUGUGCUCUCUUUAAACCGUUCUCUAUUGAAGAGGAUUCAAUCACCAUAAUGAAUCUGAGGCCAGGCAGCAAUCUUCCGCACUGAAAGAAUUUCUAAAAGAUUGUAGAAUUUGUAAAACGAACAGCUCGCAGACUAAAUGGCUGUGUGGGUGAAUCAAUUAUUGCAAGGCCCCGAGUAGUCAUAAUAUUUAGUACAUAUCAUAGAGUGUUUCAGGUACAAUAAGAUAUGCUCGUUUUUCUCCGUUCCUGCUGGAAGUGGUACCGAAAGCCUCCACGCAACCCCGGCUCAUCUGCCGCAUCCCGGGAGAGCUGGGUCAGGUCGAGCGCACCCACCGCGCAUCCACGCGUGGACGUGGGCACGUGCACAGCACCAUUUAUAACCAUCUACUCUGGGUCCAACUAGCCCUGUUUUCAUUAAUCAAUGGUCAUGGAGACGACUGUCAUCACCUCUCUGGAUGAUGACUUAUCGGCCUAAUGCAGGCUCCUUUCUGGGGACCACAAAUCAGUUAUCAGCGUGCAAAUCUUUGGAGGACUUGAACGGAGGGGGAGAAGACACAGCAGUGGGGGAAGACAGAGAAAAGAACAUUUCCAUGAGCUUCCUUGUUCUGGGUUUUACCAAACUUUGUCACAGAAUCUUCUAUGCAACUCUUUUAUGUGCUAUCGGUGACAUAAUUCCUAUUUCUUUCACCAGCCAUUAUAUAUGAUAAAUAAAACAAUGCUCUGAAAACACUGCGAUCUCUCAUCAAUGUCAUUGUGAAAAGGGCCCAGAUAGAUGAGUUCUGGAAUCACAGGCAGAUGACAUGGCUGGCCAUGUAUCAUCUUCUAUGUAUUGAACGUAGUCUUUGUAAAGAUAGAACGGUAAUAAAGAGCGGUAUUGUGUGCUCUGAAAGGCUGUGUGGG